AAAAGCUGCUGCCCGACCUGCGGAGAGAACAAAGCAGCCUAAAGUCAACAGCCAGCCCACAGAGUCCCCAUCCACCUCCAAGGUUAAUCUGAGUGAUUCCCCUGUGGAGCUAGAGGGUUGCGUGAAGAUGAGGGAAGACACCAAUGGAAUCCCAGCAGCUUACAUAUCCCGGCUGAAGGAGGACACUGAGUGAGGGCUGUUCACACUCGUGCAGCUCUACAAGGGUUAGGUUCAGGUCAGGAGGCGAAAGGUGAUGAAAUCUAAUCAUAGGUUAUUUUACCCACCUGAAGGAGUGCUCCUGGCUAUGUCAGUGGGGCUCUGCCAACUCCACAGGCCUUUUUCCGGGUCGUUGUGUGGUACCCUGUCAGAGUGUGGACGAACUCCUUCACUCCUUACAUGCAGUUUUGCUGCCAUACCCGGGUAUAACUUAUUACAAUGUAUGUAGAUGUGAAAGGAAAUAAAGAGCACAGAAAGUCAUAUACUGCUACUGACCUUUGUUUGAUUUGAUUUUUUUCCCCCAUAUUUAAUUUAGGUACAUCACAUCUGUGACAUGUCCAGGUGGUACACAGUCAUAACUGAGGUCCUCAGCUGUGGACCGUGUACCAAUGCAGCCAGGAGCAGAGAAGGUGGCACAGUGGGUCAGCAGCAUGCAGGGGAAGCCACCAUUUUAUCACAAGUUAGCAAGGCUCACCAAGCCGUGUUCCCUGCCACCUUCACCAGCAAGUGUGGAGUGGAAAGGACUGCAUUUGGGCACACAUUCCAGGCCCCAUGCACCUCCUCCAAGGAAUCAAGGUUUUGCCGCUGAAUCUUGGGAAGAUCCAUCCUGAUCUGGACUCCGCUCCACCACCACCAUACAACCCAGCUGCUGCACCACAAGAGCCUUCCCCAGCAUCACAGCAGGAUGGAGCAGGGGCCAGCAGCAGGGGACCAGCAGAUGGCACUAGAAGCAAGACGAGGGUGGUCAAGCAACCGAAAGCAGAAGGGGAAGAAGUAAUACGGCAUGACGCCAGGCCCCCUUUGCCAGAAACCCCCACAGAAACCCCCGCUGAACAGUCAUACCCAAUGAUGAAGGUGGCAGGACCCAGCGGGGUAAUGUUGGUCCACCGCCCAUGGACAGAGGCAGACCUUACUGAUGCCAUUUCUUGCCUGC